UCAAGCGAAUAAGCGUCUACGGUGGAUGCCUUGGCGGUCAGAGGCGAAGAAGGACGUGGCAGCCUGCGAAAAGCGCGGGGGAGCUGGCAACAAGCAUUGAUCCCGCGAUGUCCGAAUGGGGAAACCCCUCUCGCAAGAGAGAUCCUGGUCUGAAUACAUAGGGCCGGGAGGCGAACCCAGGGAACUGAAAUAUCUCAGUACCUGGAGGAAAAGAAAUCAACCGAGAUUGCGCUAGUAGCGACGAGCGAACGCGUAGUAGCCCAAAAGUUGUCUAUGUUUUAGUCGAACGGUCUGGAAAGGCCGGCCAUAGCGGGUGAUAGCCCCGUAGGCGAAAGGGCAUAGAUGAUGAAAGUGAGUAAGGCGGGGCACGAGAAACCCUGUCUGAACAUGGGAGGACCAUCUUCCAAGGCUAAAUACUCCUGACCGACCGAUAGUGAACCAGUACCGUGAGGGAAAGGCGAAAAGAACCCCGGAGAGGGGAGUGAAAUAGAACCUGAAACCGUAGAUGUACAAGCAGUGGAAGCCCCACCUUCAAGCCCUUUGGGUGCGAAGGUGAUACUUGACUGAAAAGUUGGGUAGGGUUGCCAUCGCGCAGCGAUGGCGCAACCGCCAAACAAGCAGAAGGCUUGAAGGUGGGGCGACUGCGUACCUUUUGUAUAAUGGGUCAGCGACUUACAUGUCUGUGGCGAGCUUAACCGUAUAGGGAAGGCGAAGGGAAACCGAGUCUGAACAGGGCGCAUAGUCGCAGGCAGUAGACCCGAAACCAGGUGAUCUAGCCAUGCCCAGGGUGAAGGUGCGGUAACACGCACUGGAGGCCCGAACCCACAUCUGUUGCAAAAGAUGGGGAUGAGGUGUGGCUAGGAGUGAAAAGCUAACCGAACCUGGAGAUAGCUGGUUCUCCUCGAAAGCUAUUUAGGUAGCGCCUCGUGCGAACACUGUUGGGGGUAGAGCACUGUUAUGGCUAGGGGGUCAUCGUGACUUACCAAACCAUGGCAAACUCCGAAUACCAACACGUGCUACACGGGAGACACACGGCGGGUGCGAACGUCCGUCGUGAAAAGGGAAACAACCCAGACCCGCAGCUAAGGUCCCCAAUUACCGCUCAGUGGAAAACGAUGUGGAAAGGCAUAAACAGCCAGGAGGUUGGCUUAGAAGCAGCCACCCUUUAAAGAAAGCGUAAUAGCUCACUGGUCGAGUCGGUCUGCGCGGAAGAUUUAACGGGGCUCAAGCGGUAAACCGAAGCUCGGGGUGCGUAUGUUCUUCGGAAUGUAUGCGCGGUAGAGGAGCGUUGUGUAAGCCUGUGAAGGUGGAUCGAUAGGUCUGCUGGAGGUAUCACAAGCGCGAAUGCUGACAUGAGUAACGAUAAUGGAGGUGAAAAGCCUCCACGCCGAAAGCCCAAGGUUUCCUCGCGCAACGUUCAUCGGCGCAGGGUGAGUCGGUCCCUAAGGCGAGGCGGAAACGCGUAGUCGAUGGGAAUCUGGUUAAUAUUCCAGAACCGCUCGUGGUUGCGAUGGAGUGACGGAGAAGGUUAGGUGUACCGGGCGUUGGUUGUCCCGGGGAAAGGAGGUAGGCGUGAACAGUAGGCAAAUCCGCUGUUCUUUACGCCGAGCACCGAGACGAGUCCUUUUUGGACGAAGUCACUGAUACCACGCUUCCAGGAAAAGCUUCUAAGCUUCAGAUCACGAGGACCGUACCGCAAUCCGACACAGGUAGGCAGGGUGAGAAUCCCAAGGCGCUUGAGAGAACUUGGGUGAAGGAACUAGGCAACAUAGCACCGUAACUUCGGGAGAAGGUGCACCCAGAAUCGUGGCUACACGCGUAGCUGAGCGAUUUUGGGUCGCAGUGACCAGGCCGCUGCGACUGUUUACCAAAAACACAGCACUCUGCAAACACGAAAGUGGACGUAUAGGGUGUGACGCCUGCCCGGUGCUGGAAGGUCAAUUGAUGGGGUCAGCCGCAAGGCGAAGCUCCUGAUCGAAGCCCCAGUAAACGGCGGCCGUAACUAUAACGGUCCUAAGGUAGCGAAAUUCCUUGUCGGGUAAGUUCCGACCUGCACGAAUGGCGUAACGACAGCGGCGCUGUCUCCACCCGAGACUCAGUGAAAUUGAAAUCGCUGUGAAGAUGCAGCGUUCCCGCGGCAAGACGGAAAGACCCCGUGAACCUUUACUAUAGCUUUACACUGAACGUUGAGUUCUUCUGUGUAGGAUAGGUGGGAGGCUUUGAAGUCCAGGCGCUAGCUUGGAUGGAGCCAACCUUGAAAUACCACCCUGAAGUGCUUGACGUUCUAACCUAGGCCCGUAAUCCGGGUCGGGGACCGUGUAUGGUGGGUAGUUUGACUGGGGCGGUCUCCUCCCAAAGAGUAACGGAGGAGC
rnacentral:rRNA from 1 species